rnacentral:rRNA from 1 species
GAAACCCAGUGUGUUUCGACACACUAUCAUUAACUGAAUCCAUAGGUUAAUGAGGCGAACCGGGGGAACUGAAACAUCUAAGUACCCCGAGGAAAAGAAAUCAACCGAGAUUCCCCCAGUAGCGGCGAGCGAACGGGGAGCAGCCCAGAGCCUGAAUCAGUAUGUGUGUUAGUGGAAGCGUCUGGAAAGGCGCGCGAUACAGGGUGACAGCCCCGUACACAAAAAUGCACAUGCUGUGAGCUCGAUGAGUAGGGCGGGACACGUGGUAUCCUGUCUGAAUAUGGGGGGACCAUCCUCCAAGGCUAAAUACUCCUGACUGACCGAUAGUGAACCAGUACCGUGAGGGAAAGGCGAAAAGAACCCCGGCGAGGGGAGUGAAAAAGAACCUGAAACCGUGUACGUACAAGCAGUGGGAGCACGCUUAGGCGUGUGACUGCGUACCUUUUGUAUAAUGGGUCAGCGACUUAUAUUCUGUAGCAAGGUUAACCGAAUAGGGGAGCCGAAGGGAAACCGAGUCUUAACUGGGCGUUAAGUUGCAGGGUAUAGACCCGAAACCCGGUGAUCUAGCCAUGGGCAGGUUGAAGGUUGGGUAACACUAACUGGAGGACCGAACCGACUAAUGUUGAAAAAUUAGCGGAUGACUUGUGGCUGGGGGUGAAAGGCCAAUCAAACCGGGAGAUAGCUGGUUCUCCCCGAAAGCUAUUUAGGUAGCGCCUCGUGAAUUCAUCUCCGGGGGUAGAGCACUGUUUCGGCAAGGGGGUCAUCCCGACUUACCAACCCGAUGCAAACUGCGAAUACCGGAGAAUGUUAUCACGGGAGACACACGGCGGGUGCUAACGUCCGUCGUGAAGAGGGAAACAACCCAGACCGCCAGCUAAGGUCCCAAAGUCAUGGUUAAGUGGGAAACGAUGUGGGAAGGCCCAGACAGCCAGGAUGUUGGCUUAGAAGCAGCCAUCAUUUAAAGAAAGCGUAAUAGCUCACUGGUCGAGUCGGCCUGCGCGGAAGAU